rnacentral:tRNA from 1 species
GUCAAGAUUUGUAAAAUCUAAUUCACAUCUUCUGACUGCAACCCAGACACUUUAAUUAAGCUAAAACC